rnacentral:rRNA from 1 species
CCGACGAACGCKGGGCGGCGGUGCCUAACACAUGCAAGUCGAACGGUAACAGGGACUUCGGUCCGCUGACGAGUGGCGCACGGGUGAGUAACGCGUGGAUAUCUGCCUAUUAGUGGGGGACAACUACAGGAAACUGUAGCUAAUACCGCAUAAUCUCUACGGAGCAAAGCAGGGGACCUUUCGGGGCCUUGCGCUGAUAGAUGAGUCCGCGUCUGAUUAGCUAGUUGGUAAGGUAAAAGCUUACCAAGGCGAUGAUCAGUAACUGGUUUGAGAGGAUGAUCAGUCACACUGGAACUGAGACACGGUCCAGACUCCUACGGGAGGCAGCAGUGGGGAAUAUUGCACAAUGGGGGAAACCCUGAUGCAGCGACGCCGCGUGCGGGAAGAAGGCCUUCGGGUUGUAAACCGCUUUCAAUUGGGAAGAAGAGAUGAGUACUAAUAAUGCUCUGAUUUGACGGUACCUUUAGAAGAAGCACCGGCUAAUUUCGUGCCAGCAGCCGCGGUAAUACGAAAGGUGCAAGCGUUGUUCGGAUUUACUGGGCGUAAAGAGAUCGUAGGUGGUUUAUUAAGUCGGAUGUGAAAAUCCCGGGGCUCAACCCCGGAACUGCAUUCGAUACUGAUAGGCUAGAGUUUGGGAGGGGGUWAGCGGGAAWUCCCGGUGUGUAGCAGUGAAAUGCGUAGAAUAUACGGAGGAACACCUGAGGGCGAAGGCGGCUUACUGGACCAAUACUGACACUGAGGAUCGAAAGCGUGGGUAGCAAACAGGAUUAGAUACCCUGGUAGUCCACGCCCUAAACGAUGUCAACUAGCCGUAGCGGGUAUCGACCCCCUGCUGUGGCGAAGCUAACGCGAUAAGUUGACCGCYKGGGGAGUACGGUCGCAAGAUGA